AUUGAACGCUGGCGGCAGGCCUAACACAUGCAAGUCGAGCGGAAACAGGGGGAGCUUGCUCCCUGCUGUCGAGCGGCGGACGGGUGAGUAAUGCAUAGGAAUUUGCCCAGUAGUGGGGGAUAGCCCGGGGAAACCCGGAUUAAUACCGCAUACGCCCUACGGGGGAAAGCAGGGGAUCUUCGGACCUUGCGCUAUUGGAUGAGCCUAUGUCGGAUUAGCUGGUUGGUGGGGUAAAGGCCUACCAAGGCGACGAUCCGUAGCUGGUCUGAGAGGAUGAUCAGCCACAUCGGGACUGAGACACGGCCCGAACUCCUACGGGAGGCAGCAGUGGGGAAUAUUGGACAAUGGGGGCAACCCUGAUCCAGCCAUGCCGCGUGUGUGAAGAAGGCUUUCGGGUUGUAAAGCACUUUCAGUGAGGAGGAAAACCUUAUGGCGAAUACCCAUGAGGCUUGACGUUACUCACAGAAGAAGCACCGCUAACU
rnacentral:rRNA from 1 species